rnacentral:rRNA from 1 species
AUUGAACGCUGGCGGCAGGCCUAACACAUGCAAGUCGAGCGGAUGAAGGGAGCUUGCUCCUGGAUUCAGCGGCGGACGGGUGAGUAAUGCCUAGGAAUCUGCCUGGUAGUGGGGGAUAACGUCCGGAAACGGGCGCUAAUACCGCAUACGUCCUGAUGGAGAAAGUGGGGGAUCUUCGGACCUCACGCUAUCAGAUGAGCCUAGGUCGGUUUAGCUAGUUUGUGGGGUGAAGGCCUACCAAGGCGACUAUCCGUAACUGGUCUGAGAGGAUGAUCAGUCACACUGGAACUGAGACACGGUCCAGAGUCCUACGGGAGGCAGCAGUGGGGAAUAUUGGACAAUGGGCGAAAGCCUGAUCCAGCCAUGCCGCGUGUGUGAAGAAGGUCUUCGGAUUGUAAAGCACUUUAAGUUGGGAGGAAGGGCAGUAAGUUAAUACCUUGCUGUUUUGACGUUACCAACAGAAUAAGCACCGGCUAACUUCGUG